GACACUUCAAUCUCUAUAAAUAGAGAACCCCAGAUUCGUUUUUGAGACACCAAAUCAAUUACGAAUUCAAUUGAUUUCUAAAUUCUUCUCUCUCCAUAUUCUGCUCUAAAAAAUUCUCUUAUACUUCCGUGGUUAUUCCGUUCGAGUACGAUCAUUCAUUGGUUCGACCGACAAGGUUGGUAUUGUGCAGUAUCGACUUUGGAAGGAGCGUUGUAUCUUGGGAGACAGACGUCCA
rnacentral:lncRNA from 1 species